AGCGUAAAGAGCUAUGUGACCCCUCCUGGAUGGGGCUUCGGUUGGACCUCUGAUUGGGCUCCCCAUAGACUUUGACCCAAGCAUCCUCGUGACAGGGUUUGUCGGAACCGCCAUCGCUUUAGGGUGCUUCUCCGGCGCCGCCAUCAUCACCAAGCGCAGGGAGUACCUGUACCUCGGUGGCCUGACCUCUUCUGGCAUGUCGAUCCUUCGACAUGAAACUCUCAAGAACGCAGGUGACAAGAAGAGGAAGAGGAUGUCCUGAACGUUUCUCCCGCACAUCGUAGAUACCACCA